GAUGAACGCUGGCGGCGUGCCUAAUACAUGCAAGUCGAGCGAACAGACGAGGAGCUUGCUCCUCUGACGAUAGCGGCGGACGGGAGAGUAACACGUGGAUAACCUACCUAUAAGACUGGGAAAACUUCGGGAAACCGGAGCUAAUACCGGAUAAUAUAUUGAACCGCAGGGUGCAAUAGUGAAAGACGGCUGUGCGGUCACUAAUAGAUGGAUCCGCGCCGCAUUAGCUAGUUGGUAAGGUAAUGGCCUACCAAGGCAACGAGGCGUAGCCGACCUGAUAGGGUGGUCGCCCACCCUGGAACUUGGACGCGCUCCAGGGUCCUGCGGGACGCCGCAGUAUGGAAUCUUCCGCAAUGGGCGAGAGCUUGGCGCAGCAAGGGCGAGUGAGUUAUGGCGGUCUUCCGAUCGUAAUGCUCUGUUAUUAGGGGAGAACAAAUGUGUCAGUAACUAUGCACGUCUUGACGGUACCUGGUCAAAAAGCCCCGGCUAACUACGUG
rnacentral:rRNA from 1 species